GAUGAACGCUAGCGGGAGGCCUAACACAUGCAAGCCGAGCGGUAUUUGUUCUUCGGAACAGAGAGAGCGGCGCACGGGUGCGGAACACGUGUGCAACCUGCCUUUAUCUGGGGGAUAGCCUUUCGAAAGGAAGAUUAAUACCCCAUAAUAUAUUGAGUGGCAUCCCUUGAUAUUGAAAACUCCGGUGGAUAGAGAUGGGCACGCGCAAGAUUAGAUAGUUGGUGAGGUAACGGCUCACCAAGUCAAUGAUCUUUAGGGGGCCUGAGAGGGUGAUCCCCCACACUGGUACUGAGACACGGACCAGACUCCUACGGGAGGCAGCAGUGAGGAAUAUUGGACAAUGGGUUAGCGCCUGAUCCAGCCAUCCCGCGUGAAGGACGACGGCCCUAUGGGUUGUAAACUUCUUUUGUAUAGGGAUAAACCUACUCUCGUGAGAGUAGCUGAAGGUACUAUACGAAUAAGCACCGGCUAACUCCGUG
rnacentral:rRNA from 1 species